rnacentral:rRNA from 1 species
UACGUAGGCAGCGAGCGUUGUUCGGAGUUACUGGGCGUAAAGGGUGUGUAGGCGGUUGCUUAAGUUUGGUGUGAAAUCUCCCGGCUUAACCGGGAGGGUGCGCCGAAUACUGAGUGACUUCGAGUGCGGGAGAGGAAAGUGGAAUUCCUGGUGUAGCGGUGAAAUGCGUAGAUAUCAGGAGGAAUACCGAUGGCGAAGGCAGGUCUCUGGGCUGACACUGACGCUCAUGCACGAAAGCGUGGGGAGCAAACAGG